rnacentral:rRNA from 1 species
AAGGCAAGCGGAUCUCUUAAAGCCGUUCUCAGUUCGGGCUGUAGGCUGCAACUCGCCUACACGAAGCUGGAAUCGCGAGUAAUCGCGGAUCAGCACGCCGCGGUGAAUACGUUCCCGGGCCUUGUACACACCGCCCGUCACACCAUGAGAGUCUGUAACACCCAAAGCCGGUGGGAUAACCUUUAUAGGAGUCAGCCGUCUAAGGUAGGACAGAUGAUUAGGGUGAAGUCGUAACAAGGUACC